UUAUUAUUAUUAUUGUAUUUUAUAUUAAAUUCUUGUUUUUAAUAAAUAAAUUAAUAGAUUGGAUUCUUCGAAAUUCACGAUUUGAUCUGACUAAUUAACAAUAACAGAGAGUUAAAUGAAAGGAAAUAGAUUGUACACAUACUAAAUGCAUUUUUGUGUAGAUUCUAUUUUAAUUUGCCCAAUUAGUUUAGCAGAAGUGUGGAGGCCCUCGGAUAGUCUAAUAAACACCAAAUGAUCGGUCUGUAGGGAUCAUUUACUUGAUUUUUUGUUUCAUCAAUUUGGUCUAAAGCCUUGUAGGGUUGCAAAACUGCAAUUCAGGUUCGUCCAUUCCCUAAGGGGAAUAUCAUAUACACUAGCUGACCUUAGAGCUGUAAAAUUAAAAUAAAGUUAACAAAGGUAAACAAAAAUUGUUAAAUAACCAAAAAGGACGAUUCCAUUCCGUUCUCUUUGACAAGUCAGGUUAUCAGUUGGCUAGCAAAAAUCAUAGAAAAAAAAAAAUUGGAAAUUAAAAGGAAUCUGAAGAUUGAUUAUUGAAUUUCCCACUCCAACGUAAAUUAGCAAAACAAACUCUUGAAACUAGAAAAGUACGAUCCAUAUACCAUUUAUAUUGCAUUGUUACCUGCGUAAUAAAAGGAGUUUCAUCUAACUCUAGAGGCUCAUACAAGCCAGUCGAAAGGUGCUAAGAUACUUUAGGAAGGAUAAGGCAUAGCUGAAGGAAGAAGGAGGAUGUCAAGACAGAUAAAAAAGCUCAUGAGAAGCUGCAGGUUUGAAGUAUUGAUAUGCUUAAUUGAUACUAUGCCCAUGGAGAAAAAGAUGAUAAUUUUCAAAGGGGCAGUUAUUGGAAGCUUGAACAGUAAGUAUGGACUGUUGACAUUUUCUUUUUUAUGUUCCGUAACUUCUCACUUAUCCUCUCAACUUGAAUUUCUAAUUCAAAAUUCUCUCAUAACUGUUGCCGCCCUCUUAUAACGCCCAACUGCUCCUGAUGGUGGAAUGGUUAUAUAAAUGUGUCAUCUAGAUAAUCCUCAUAAAAAAUUCACACCAUCUAAUAUGAGGUUGAGUGCUUAGAAGACUCACCGGAAAGCAAUGUCGACAACGUUAGUUGACUCCGACAUCAACUACAGAUCCUCAACAAUGGCUGGAGAGGGUCGAUUGCUGAUGGAAAUAGGAGAAAGUGCAUUCACGACUACUCAAGGACAGAAGUCUCAUCAAGCCAAUAAAAAGUUGAAAGGAAAGGCUCCACUUGACUCUGACAUCAAAAAAGAAUUUAAGUGUCGCUCUUUGGAAAGAAGGGGCAUAUAAAGAAAGAUUGUGUCAAGUUUCAACGAUGGCUUGAGAAGAAAGGACUUAAAAAACCUACGGAAGCCAGUGGGAGCUGAGCGAAGCAUCUAUUCAGGAAACAAGAUGCAGUCGCGUGUAGAAGCUAUUGGAACAUGCAAUUUAGUUCUUAGUAGUGGUUUUAUUUUAGAGUUGGAAAAGAACUUUUAUGUUCCUAACUUUUCUAGGAAUUUAAUUUCAGUAUCAAGACUUGUACCUUUGGGAUACUCCUUCUUUCUAGAAGGUUAUUCUAAUCUAUUUUAUAAAUCUAAACUUGUUGGAUA